UUCAGUUUUGAACCAGUCUAACCAGUAUUUCACCUUCUUGUAGAAAGACUAAUAUGAAAAUUGUCAUGAUGCUGAAAAUAAUAAAGGACACAAUAAAGUAGGAAGAGCACCUGCACUAAACCAAACCCACUGAGUUCAAGUUGUAUUUCAAACAGGCUUUGAAUGCUCAUCUAGUGAGAUGAGCUACUCAGCCUUCUCCUUGAAAGUAAAUCUCCAAGGGAAAAAAUGCUGCUCUACAGAGAGAAGAAAUUAUGCCUGUGAACUUGUGGUUCUUCUCUUCUCUAUGGUCUGCUAUCAUGUCUCAUUCCCUAUGAUUCUCCUCAGACCUGAGUUCAUGGCAAGGUUUCCCAGCCACAGCCAUUCUCUUGUGCUCCUGCCUGUCUGCCACCAGUGCAUGGGUGUGUUUUUCCAAAGGACAUUGGUGCAAAGCUGCCUCAACUGGGAUGUAAAGGAGAUGGCACUCCAUGAAAUCACAGGCAGAAGCGUCAGUUGUGUCCUGAGAGCACUUUAAUCAGUGGGGAACAGCCUGACCAACACUGCACCAUACCAGCACUUACUCUGGGGCUUAUUCUAAAAUGUUAAGCUGAUUUCCACUGCAUGAUAUGGAUAUAUUUGGGAUAUAUUCUGGG